rnacentral:rRNA from 1 species
UACGUAGGGUGCAAGCGUUGUCCGGAAUCAUUGGGCGUAAAGCGCGCGUAGGUGGCUUCGUAAGUCCGUUGUGAAAGUCAAAGGCUCAACCUUUGAAAGCCGAUGGAUACUGCGGAGCUAGAGUACGGAAGAGGCGAGUGGAAUUCCUGGUGUAGCGGUGGAAUGCGCAGAUAUCAGGAGGAACACCAUAGCGAAAGGCAGCUGCGCUGGGACGUUACUGACACUAAGGCGCGAAAGCGUGGGGAGCGAACAGG